GAUACCCGACUUCGUCAUCCGAAUACUUAUUGUAGAACGGGUCUUAAUAAAUCCAUGAACGACCCUAGCGAGCAUUGAGAAUAAUAAGGGCCAAUUUCACCAACCACGGUUAGAUUAACCGACGGUUAAAGUUAGCAGGGUGACCAACAGACACAUAUUUUCUCGUAACCUCUUGGCUCUAACCUGAAAUUUGUGGGAAGCAAUAAACAGUGUAUUAUACAUGUGAAAAAAAGUUUAAAAGAUUAAAACAUGCAAAGGCAAAAGAAUUUUUCUGACGCAGAUAAAGAAUCUUUAUUAGAUUUAAUAUUUUUACAACGUGAUGUCAUUGAAAACAAAGAAACUGAUCGUUCAACACUUGUAAAAAAGGA